rnacentral:misc_RNA from 1 species
GAUGAAGAACGCAGCGAAAUGCGAUAAGUAAUGUGAAUUGCAGAAUUCAGUGAAUCAUCGAAUCUUUGAACGCACAUUGCGCCCGCCAGUAUUCUGGCGGGCAUGCCUGUUCGAGCGUCAUUACAACCCUCAGGCCCCCGGGCCUGGCGUUGGGGAUCGGCGGAAGCCCCCUGCGGGCACAACGCCGUCCCCCAAAUACAGUGGCGGUCCCGCCGCAGCUUCCAUUGCGUAGUAGCUAACACCUCGCAACUGGAGAGCGGCGCGGCCACGCCGUAAAACACCCAACUUCUGAAUGUUGACCUCGAAUCAGGUCGGAAUACCCGCUGAACUUAAGCAUAUCAAUAAGCGGAGGA